rnacentral:rRNA from 1 species
UACAGAGGCCUCGAGCGUCAGGCGGAAUCACUGGGCUUAAAGCGUGUGUAGGCGGAUUGGUAAGUACCUUGUGAAAUCCCACAGCUUAACUGUGGAACUGCUCGGUAUACUGCUGAUCUUGAGCCACUCAGGGGCUACCGGAACAAAUGGUGGAGCGGUGAAAUGCGUAGAUAUCAUUUGGAACGCCAAUGGUGAAAACAGGUAGCUGGGGGUGUGCUGACGCUGAGACACGAAAGCCAGGGGAGCAAACGGG